UGGUGGCUGACCUACGGCCAAGAAGGAGCCACUCGGACCUGAGCCUGGAUGGCUCCGGUGCUGUGCCAGGAGCCUUCAGCAUGCGGCAGGCAGACUCUGCUCCUUGUGCCUCCUGAUGCUCAGACUUGUUCUGGAGACCCCGGCUCUGAGCCCAUGUAUUUAAGAGCCAGCUCCAGAGACUCCGGGCUCCCCCAAGUCCAAACUCAGCUCUGUGAUCCAGGCCCUGCUGGGGGCAGCCUGCAGGGGGGCAGAGGGAGGAGGUGGUGGUGCCCUGGUUUCUGUACACUCUGCCAC
rnacentral:lncRNA from 1 species